GGUGGAUGCCUUGGCAUGCACAGGCGAUGAAGGACGUGAUACGCUGCGAUAAGCGUCGGGGAGGUGCGAAUACCCUUUGAUCCGACGAUUUCCGAAUGGGGCAACCCACCUUAGAUAGCUAGAAAAUUUGAAUUGUUGGCGCUUAUGCAAGAACAGUUCAACUUUCUAGUUAUCGUAAUAAGGUAUCUACACCUGAAUACAUAGGGUGUUAGAAGCGAACCUGGGGAACUGAAACAUCUAAGUACCCAGAGGAAAGGACAUCAAACGAGACUCCGCUAGUAGUGGCGAG
rnacentral:rRNA from 1 species